CAUCUUUAUAUUACCGUCCCUAUUCUAUUUGCGAUUCUUUCUGAAACAUGAUUUCGUGUACUGGUUUAUUACUUGAAUGUAUUUUGGUUUAUUCUCCUAUUUACUUGAUUUUUUGGGCAAAGGAUAACAGUUAGGUAUUUAAAUCUUAGGCUUGUAUAUGUGUUUUGCUCACUGUGUUAAUUUGGGUGUUCAGUUUAUUUUAUGUCCAGCAGCUCAUGUUCUUGUGUAUUUAUGCUUGGCUUGCUUCAAUUGUUUACAGUUAAAGGAGUUUUGCUAGUAUGCUUUUACUCGUCAUCGCAUAAUGCACUAAGUGAUAACUAAUUUGUUUACACUGUAGGAGUUAGUUUCUUUUGUUGAAAUUGCUAAAAACAAUAGCUCAUUUGUUUUUUGGAUUAAAUUAUCAUGGUUUAGCUUACUUUACAUUUGUUUAAAGUUAGGCUUAUUAUCCUUAAAAUUAGAGGGAACAAGGUUGUUUUGGUUUGAUAAUAUGACUAUUCAAUACUAGUUUAUAAUUAGUUUGUUCUCCUUAUAUUGUAGAUGUAAAUCUUGUUUAGAACUUUCUUUAAAGCCAAUCAAACUUGGAGAAAAGUUCCCAACACUUCUUGUUAUUUUUCUCUAUUGCUUUUAGUUUAUGUCGAAAGAAUGACACCCGAAUUAGUGUUCAUAUGCUUUUCACUAGUUGUCCUCUAUUUGUAUAUGUGGAUGUAUGUUCCAUUUCCCUUUUGCGUAAGUGAAUUAGUCUUGUGAAUUAGUUGAAGUGUGAAUGCUAAUCUUCUCUCUCUUUAUUUGCAUGUGAAACUCCAUGCGAGUCCGUUUGGACUCAUCCCUUGCAUAUCGUUGAAUUGUCCCGAGUCAGCCCUGGUCAUUGCUGAAAAAUUGGAAGCAAAAUACCGUCUCGAAAAGCUGAAAACAGGCUGAGAUACAGCCUGUAUACACUGAUAUACAACGGUAUACGCUGAUAUCCAUGUCAAAAGUGCAGGAAAAACAGGGAACAACUGCUAUAUAUAAUCGUAUACAACCAUCAAAAUGCGGCCGAAGGCCUUCAAAAUCUCAGAAAGCAAAAUGCUGAAUUAAAAGGGCCAAAAGCCCAAUGAUUCAGAUCUUUAGAUUUAGGACAGGAGAGUUUUGGGCCUGUCAGCCUAAUAAUUCAGAUUUAGGACAGGACUUGGGGCCAGAAGCCCCAAGUAUUUAAUUGCUACUUAAUUAUGUAUAUCGUUUUUGUCAAAAAAUAAUAAUAUUUUUUAUCAUGUCAAAUCUUUUCUUUUCCUUUUAAAUAAAAUAGUAUACAUACCCGCGCGUUGCGCGGCAAUAUAUGAACUUAUG
rnacentral:lncRNA from 1 species